AAACAUUGCUUUGAGAUUAUUUAAUAUUCAAAGUAUGGCCUGCCCAGUGGAUUUUUCUUAACGGCUGCGGUAUCCUGACCGUACAAAGGUAGCAUAAUCAUUUGCCUUUUAAUUGGUGGCUAGAAUGAAAGGUUGUACUACUAAAAUUCUGUCUCUAACAAAUUAAUUAGAAAUUAUGUUGAAGGUGAAGACACCUGCAUAUAAAGGAAAGACGAGAAGACCCCGAAAGAGCUUUUGAGUUUUAAGAGUAUAUCUUAAAAGUUGAUUUUGUUGGGGCGACAUGAGAACAUAAAAGCUUCUUUUUAGUUAUAAAUAUAUACAUGAUCCAGUAUAAUUGAAUGAGGGAAAGUUAUCUCGGGGAUAACAGCUUAAUGAUUUCUUGAAGGCCUGAUUUAAGAAAUGGAUUGAGACCUCGAUGUUGGACUAAAAUUACCAGAAGGUGCAGAAGCUUUCUUGGGUGAGUCUGUUCGACUCUAAAAAUUUUACAUGAUCUGA
rnacentral:rRNA from 1 species